rnacentral:rRNA from 1 species
UACGGAAGGGGCUAGCGUUGCUCGGAAUCACUGGGCGUAAAGGGUGCGUAGGCGGGUCUUUAAGUCAGGGGUGAAAUCCUGGAGCUCAACUCCAGAACUGCCUUUGAUACUGAGGAUCUUGAGUUCGGGAGAGGUGAGUGGAACUGGCGAGUGUAGAGGUGAAAUUCGUAGAUAUUACGCAAGAACACCAGUGGCGAAGGC